CAGAGAAUAGUUUAAUUAAAAUAUUAAUUUUGGAGAUUAAUGAUAAAAUAGUUUUUUUUUCUCUGA
rnacentral:tRNA from 1 species